AAUGAACGCUGGCGGCGUGGUUAAGACAUGCAAGUCGAACGGUUUUCAUUGAAGGGCAACCGGAUAUGAAAGCAGUGGCGAACGGGUGCGUAACACGUGAACAAUCUACCUCCAAGUGGGGAAUAGCUCGCCGAAAGGCGAAUUAAUACCGCAUGUGGUAGUUUCUCGCAUGAGAGACUUACUAAAGUCAGGGACCGCAAGGCCUGACGCUGGGAGAGGAGUUCGCGGCCUACAGCUAG
rnacentral:rRNA from 1 species